ACCCGCACAAGCGGUGGAUGAUGUGGAUUAAUUCGAUGCAACGCGAAAACCUUACUUACCCUUGACAUGUCCGGAAUCCCGAAGAGAUUUGGGAGUGCUCGCAAGAGAACCGGAACACAGGUGCUGCAUGGCUGUCGUCAGCUCGUGUCGUGAGAUGUUGGGUUAAGUCCCGCAACGAGCGCAACCCUUAUCAUUAGUUGCUACGCAAGGGCACUCUAAUGAGACUGCCGGUGACAAACCGGAGGAAGGUGGGGAUGACGUCAAGUCCUCAUGGCCCUUAUGGGUAGGGCUUCACACGUCAUACAAUGGUCGGUACAGAGGGUUGCCAAGCCGCGAGGCGGAGCCAAUCCCACAAAGCCGAUCGUAGUCCGGAUUGUUCUCUGCAACUCGAGAGCAUGAAGUCGGAAUCGCUAGUAAUCGCAGGUCAGCAUACUGCGGUGAAUACGUUCCCGGGUCUU
rnacentral:rRNA from 1 species